GUUAAUGGAAGAAUCCAAAAGAAGUUCAUGCUAAACAUAACUCCAUAUGACCAAGCAAUAAGGUUAAGUGAAGAAAGACAUGGAAAGUGCCUUGACCUGAAGGUCAUCUUAAAUGGCCUUCUCCCCGCUUAUACUCCAAAUACCAUUACUGAAACGUAGAUCUAUUUAAGCUUUCAUGUGCUAGUUACUGGGUUAGACAAUAGUGGGGAGCAAAACAGAAAUAGUAGCCCAGCCCCCAGGGACAUCCAGACUCGUGGGGGCAAAGGCAUUUGUGAACAGGUCUCAUGAGUGUUGUGGAAACACUUCAAAGCAGUUUUUAUAUUGUACAGUAAAGACAUCGGACCCCAUGGCUGCUCAAACAAGUGAAUCUACAGAGGUGAUUAAGUUCUAAUUUAGGUUUGUUUUUUUUUUUAAGACACAGCCUUACUCUGUCACCCAGGCUGGAGUGCAGUGGCACGAUCUCAGCUCACUGCAAUCUCUGCCCCCCUGGGUCCAAGCAAUUCUCAUGCCUCAGCCUCCCAAGUAGCUGGGACUACAGGCGUGUACCACCACACCUGGCUAAUUUUUGUAUUUUUAGUAGAGACGGCAUUUUACCAUGUUGGCUAGGCUUGUUUUGAAUGCCUGACCUCAGGUGAUCCACCUGCCUCAGCCUCCCAAAAUGUUGGGAUUACAGGCGUGAGCCACCACACCUUGCUUAAUUUAGGUUUUCUGUCAUCCAAAAUUUGUGCAGUCAAUUUACUAGCCUUUCAGAUUUAAAAACCACAAACAUCACAAUAAGUACUUAAGCACCCACAGUAGCCAGACUACUAAGGCCAUGGUUAUUGUAUUUUUGGAGUACAUGCCAGAAGAAAAGGUCAUAACCCAUAGAUAGGUAUCUAGUGUGUAGGUGUCAGCAGACACACCACACACAGCCAGGAAGGCUGAAGAGAUUAGAAUCACAACGCUGGGAAAGGCCUUUGAGAUUCUUAGCUUGGGGUCCACGGUUGUACUUCAGGGACCCCAGAAACUCCCUGAGGUU
rnacentral:lncRNA from 10 species